CACCGAGAAAGCGUUGCCGCAGGCAACGACCCGAAGGGCGAAGCGCGCAGCGCUGAGUCAUCCUUCCCCCACCACCA
rnacentral:sRNA from 1 species